CUUGUUAGUGUCUGCAAUAAUAUAAUUCCAAUACCGACAGUUUGAACUGUAUCCAAUAAGCCAAGAUAGAGCCACAGCAUUCUUGAUAAAUAGGGUGCACCUUUUCCUAAAAACGGUACGUAUAUGCCAAUAUUUGACGUGCCCCAUAAUGUUUGUAACCAGCGAGGAGCUCCAAAUCCUAAUCCCAAAAUAGGUAGGAUCCAAGAAUGGUAUCUGGACAAAGAAGCAAGUAAUGCCACCAAAGCAAUCCAUAUAGCAACAUAAAACAAAAUGACUAGUAAAAACAUAGCCCAUUUAUGUACAUUAUGUGCAGACCACAUAAAGGCCCACGAUCGACCAUACACCGAUGACAUCCAGUAAUUUUGAAGAAAAACGCUAAUAAAAAACCACAUUAUCAACCGACGGCGAAACAAGGAACGAUAGAAAGCUGGUAUUUUUGAAGGACAUUGUCUGUAAAAAUUAGGCAAACCUCGAUACACAACAAAAGCGAUCGCGAGUAAAACCAAAGCUAUUGGCCAUGUAAUGGCUGCCAUCCAUGGCUGUGGGUUUAAUUUUCCCGAAACUCCCAUUCUAUUUGGUUUAUCCGUUGAGUAAGAACCCCAAUACCAAAGUGCUGCCGACCAUACUUGUUGCGAUCCUUGAAUAAAACAAGCUCUCACAAUCCAAUACAAGAUAUCAUAUCUUCCUUCAUUACCAAAAUUUAAAGAAAAAAACAAAGCUUGACUCCCAGAGGCAAUUGAAUAAAUCCAGGUUGCAACUCGUGAAAUCCAAAGACGUGAAUCACCGAGGCUUGAAAACGUUGUAAGGCCAGCUAAAGCAAACGCAGUAGCGUAAAUUAUGAAUGGGGUUGAAAGUGCGUAAAUAUUGGGUACGAGAGAAUGCAAAAUAUACCAGAAUAGAGAUGCACUGAUAUAAACACUACACACGAUAUAGGAUUGGUAUUCUGGCUGAUCAGGCGUAUCUGA